AACGAACGCUGGCGGCAUGCCUAACACAUGCAAGUCGAACGAGACCUUCGGGUCUAAUGGCGCACGGGUGCGUAACGCGUGGGAACCUGCCCUUAGGUUCGGACUAACUCCCCGAAAGGGGUGCUAAUACCGGACAAUGUCUUCGGACCAAAGAUUUAUCGCCUUUGGAUGUGCCCGAGUUGCAUUAGCUAGUUGGUAGGGUAAAAGCCUACCAAGGCGACGAUCCAUAGCUGGUCUGAGAGGAAGAUCAGCCACACUGGGAAGGAGACACGGCCCAGACUCCUACGGGAGGCGGCAGUGGGGAAUAUUGGAAAGUGGGCGAAAGCAUGAUCCAGCACUGCCGCGUGAGUGAUGAAGGCCUUAGGGUUGUAAAGCUCUUUUACCCGGGAUGAUAAUGACAGUACCGGGAGAAUAAGCCCCGGCUAACUCCGUG
rnacentral:rRNA from 1 species